AGUGAACGCUGGCGGCGUGCUUAACACAUGCAAGUCGAACGAGAACGGGCUAUAGCUUGCUAUAGUUGUCAGCUAAGUGGCGCACGGGUGAGUAAUGUAUAGGUAAUAUGCCUCUUACUAAGGGAUAACAAAUGGAAACGUUUGCUAAUACCCUAUACUCCUUAUUAACAGAAGUUAAUAAGGGAAAGAUUUAUUGGUAAGAGAUUAGCCUGUAUUGUAUCAGUUAGUUGGUGGGGUAAUGGCUUACCAAGACUAUGACACAUAACUGGUUUGAGAGGAUGAUCAGUCACACUGGAACUGAGACACGGUCCAGACUCCUACGGGAGGCAGCAGUGGGGAAUAUUGCACAAUGGACGAAAGUCUGAUGCAGCAACGCCGCGUGGAGGAUGACACAUUUCGGUGCGUAAACUCCUUUUAUAUGAGAAGAUAAUGACAGUAUUAUAUGAAUAAGCACCGGCUAACUCCGUGCCAGCAGCCGCCGUAA
rnacentral:rRNA from 1 species